rnacentral:rRNA from 1 species
AGAGUUUGAUCCUGGCUCAGGAUGAACGCUAGCGGCAGGCUUAACACAUGCAAGUCGAGGGGCAGCGGGGAGGAAGCUUGCUUUCUCCGCCGGCGACCGGCGCACGGGUGAGUAACACGUAUGCAACCUGCCCCUGUCAGGGGGACAACCCGCCGAAAGGCGGGCUAAACCCGCGUACAUGCCACCGGGGCAUCCCGGAGGCAGGAAAGGCUUCGGCCGGACAGGGAUGGGCAUGCGGCGCAUUAGGCAGUAGGCGGGGUAACGGCCCACCUAACCGACGAUGCGUAGGGGUUCUGAGAGGAAGGUCCCCCACACUGGUACUGAGACACGGACCAGACUCCUACGGGAGGCAGCAGUGAGGAAUAUUAGUCAAUGGUCGGGAGACUGAACCAGCCAAGCCGCGUGAGGGAGGAAGGUACAGAGUAUCGUAAACCUCUUUUGUCAGGGAACAAAGGCGGGGACGUGUCCCCGGAUGAGUGUACCUGAAGAAAAAGCAUCGGCUAACUCCGUGCCAGCAGCCGCGGUAAUACGGAGGAUGCGAGCGUUAUCCGGAUUUAUUGGGUUUAAAGGGUGCGCAGGCGGUCUGUUAAGUCAGCGGUCAAAGCCCGGGGCUCAACCCCGGCCCGCCGUUGAAACUGGCAGUCUCGAGUUGGAGAGAAGUAUGCGGAAUGCGCGGUGUAGCGGUGAAAUGCAUAGAUAUCGCGCAGAACUCCGAUUGCGAAGGCAGCAUGCCGGCUCCACACUGACGCUGAGGCACGAAAGCGUGGGUAUCGAACAGGAUUAGAUACCCUGGUAGUCCACGCAGUAAACGAUGAAUGCUGGCUGUCCGGGGGGAUUGACCCCUGGGUGGCGAAGCGAAAGCGAUAAGCAUUCCACCUGGGGAGUACGCCGGCAACGGUGAAACUCAAAGGAAUUGACGGGGGCCCGCACAAGCGGAGGAACAUGUGGUUUAAUUCGAUGAUACGCGAGGAACCUUACCCGGGCUCAAACGGGGAGUGACUCAGGCAGAGACGCCUGUUUCCCACGGGACACUCCCCGAGGUGCUGCAUGGUUGUCGUCAGCUCGUGCCGUGAGGUGUCGGCUUAAGUGCCAUAACGAGCGCAACCCCCGCGUGCAGUUGCUAACAGAUAACGCUGAGGACUCUGCACGGACUGCCGGCGCAAGCCGCGAGGAAGGCGGGGAUGACGUCAAAUCAGCACGGCCCUUACGUCCGGGGCGACACACGUGUUACAAUGGGUGGUACAGCGGGAAGCCAGGCGGCGACGCCGAGCGGAACCCGAAAUCCACUCUCAGUUCGGAUCGGAGUCUGCAACCCGACUCCGUGAAGCUGGAUUCGCUAGUAAUCGCGCAUCAGCCAUGGCGCGGUGAAUACGUUCCCGGGCCUUGCACACACCGCCCGUCA